AUACGGAGGGAGCUAGCGUUGUUCGGAAUUACUGGGCGUAAAGCGCACGUAGGCGGCUUUGUAAGUUAGAGGUGAAAGCCCGGGGCUCAACUCCGGAACUGCCUUUAAGACUGCAUCGCUUGAAUCCAGGAGAGGUGAGUGGAAUUCCGAGUGUAGAGGUGAAAUUCGUAGAUAUUCGGAAGAACACCAGUGGCGAAGGCGGCUCACUGGACUGGUAUUGACGCUGAGGUGCGAAAGCGUGGGGAGCAAACA
rnacentral:rRNA from 1 species